CCUACGGGUGGCAGCAGUGGGGAAUAUUGCACAAUGGGGGAAACCCUGAUGCAGCGACGCCGCGUGAAGGAAGAAGUAUUUCGGUAUGUAAACUUCUAUCAGCAGGGAAGAAAAUGACGGUACCUGACUAAGAAGCCCCGGCUAACUACGUGCCAGAAGCCGCGGUAAUACGUAGGGGGCAAGCGUUAUCCGGAUUUACUGGGUGUAAAGGGAGCGUAGGCGGCGAUGCAAGUCAGAAGUGAAAGCCCGGGGCUCAACGCCGGGACUGCUUUUGAAACUGUGUUGCUAGAGUGCAGGAGAGGUAAGUGGAAGUCCUAGUGUAGCGGUGAAAUGCGUAGAUAUUAGGAGGAACACCAGGGGCGAAGGCGGCUUACUGGACUGUAAAUGACGCUGAGGCUCGAAAGCGUGGGGAGCAAACAGGAUUAGAUACCCGUGUAGUC
rnacentral:rRNA from 1 species